UACGGGGGGAGCAAGCGUUGUUCGGAUUUACUGGGCGUAAAGGGCGCGUAGGCGGCCAGCACAAGUCAGUUGUGAAAUCUCCGAGCUUAACUCGGAAAGGUCAACUGAUACUGUGCGGCUAGAGUGCGGAAGGGGCUACUGGAAUUCUCGGUGUAGCGGUGAAAUGCGUAGAUAUCGAGAGGAACACCUGCGGCGAAGGCGGGUAGCUGGGCCGACACUGACGCUGAGGCGCGAAAGCCAGGGGAGCGAACGGG
rnacentral:rRNA from 1 species